GUACAAUGUUCCUGUUCCCUUUCCAUCUAACCUCUUCUGAUAUAUUAGUCCUCCACGUAGAGAAGAAGAAAUAAUUCCCUGCUUGUUACACAUAGCCAGGAAAAAGAAAACUCAGGAAAAUGUCCCCUGAAAAGGAUUUAAUCCUUUUCUGUUGAUGGUUUAUGAUGCCAAAUAAUCCCACCUCUCUUCUAGUAAAUUCCAGUUUAAGGGUCAAUCAGUUACAGCUGUGCUAAUCCACAGUUACUAACUUCUUUGCCUGCUGAUGUCUCCAUGGUGAAACCACAGAUGAAACCUGGGUGACCUCCAUGCCUUUCCCUACCGUGUUUAGAAAACAACAGAUAAGGUAACGCAGUAAGGUCAAGUGCAACUGUGGUCUGAGACUCCAGUAUGGGAAAUUGAAAGUAGUCAAAAACCAGCCUGGACUAGGACCACAGACAGGUACUGUGGCAGUUCUCUGGGCUACAGGACUCUGCAGAAUAAACCUGGCUGCCGUAAGUGCCAAACUCACUGGAAGAGCACCAUACUGGAAAAGAGAUGAAGUGGCAGCUCUGCAACACCCACUCCCUCCUCUGCUCUGGGAAAGCCUGGUUGUACACCUCUCUCACAAGGCAGAACAAGAGAAUUUGCCCCUCUGUUGGUAGGGGCUUGCAGGUUUUUAAAAAAAAAGUAUUAAGGGGAAAUUUUCUCUAUUGCACUGCAAGCAGUAUCUCCUCUGUCUCCUGCAGAAAUGUGCACAGAAUUCUAAUACAAAUGUAAAGGUAAUUAAAGAUGUUUGAUGCGGAUGUGAGACGGAAGGGAAGGAUUGCUGGAACAUCAGUUCCUGCUGCUACAAUUUUUUGUCUUUCAGGUCAGGUCCUGCACUGUCGAAGACAGGUACUGCUCAAGUUCCUGUUCUCUCCUGCAACUAGCAAGACCUUCAGAGGGAACCUCCUUCAGCUUUCCUGAAAAGGUUUUUGCUUCCUGGCUAUGUGCAGGAAUUAGAGUUAUGUCACCUCUUGUACCUGACAGACUGAUGUAUAGGAAGAAACCAAAUGCAAGGGAAACAGGGGCUUCAUAAACCUGCCAUGCAUGUGCACUUUCAUUUGUAAAGUCUUAAAAUCUUCACACAUUCAGCUGACCAACUAUUUGCAUAUAAAGCACUGAGAAGCAAGGGAUCAUGGCAGGACUGCUAUGGAGCAGCCUCCAGGGACACAGCAAGAUUGACCUAAUUACACAUGGUUAUUACUCACACUAAAUCCCUGUGAACUCUGGAACAACCUUCACAAGAUGGCACAGACCUGACAAUUAAAUCCUUUCAUUUUCUUGUUCGUCUGGAGAUGAAAUUGCUUUAUAGCACAAUGCAAACUGAUUUGCUGUUAGCAAAACAGAACCAAUAUUCAAAAAAGUGCAAAACCAGUUGAAUAUUGUACCUAACCCCAUAAAGAGGCUAAAGGCUGGACAUGGAGAAAGUCUCUAUCUAAUCAAGCUGUUGGCUGACCAGGACAGAACAAAUUCAUAAGUCAUUAAGUACACUCGUACUGUCUGAACAGGAUGGGGACUUUUGUUAUAAUUUUGCCAUCAUGACCAUUCUGUUGGUCAGGUUACUUGACCUGCCUUCAGUGCUUAUCUAUUAAGGAUAUGUGACUGUGGAAAAGGGGUUAAAAAAAGUAACAGUUUCCUGUAGCAGGGUUAUUCUAGUUGCAUAACUACAUCUGAAGGAUAUUUCCCAGAGCAAAAGGACUUUGCUAGGUGUGCAGGAAACCACGGCUUUUGUUGUUGUGGCACUGAACUGCCUCUAACCCACUGAACAUGCCUCAAACUCAUAUCACCAAGUGCAAACAGUAACUCCCAAAUCCUCAAAAAUAGUGUUUGCUCAACAGAAAAAUUCAAUGCUCAUUCUCCUCAGUGGGCCUUUUGCUGAAGCCAGAAAAAUAUCAAGAAAAGGCAACAUGUAACAGAAACAAGUGGUAUUUCAUGUCUUCAAAAUGGUCAAACAGGAUUGGAAAGCAGAAGGGUUCCUUCCGUCUGCCCCAAGCUAACAUUCACCCUGAAGAUUACCAAGGGCAAAUUACAAGUUUCCUUUAAAAUACGUGUUGUUCCUGCAGAGGUCAUGUUGCUCAGAGAGAUUUACAAGGCUUUAGAGCUACUGUGUUAAUAAGGCAUCUUUCAAUGGGAAAAGUACCCCAUGCCAUGUGCAGAAGUCACCACAAGUAUUUCUCAGCUCAGUUAUUUCUAUUAAUGCGGUAAAAUAAAACACCAAUACCAUGCAAGUGCAUGGAACCAAAGGCUGAAGAGAAGUAGGUAGGACAGAAGUAAAUUACUUGUAUUUACUAGUCACAGUAAUAAACUCAGUCAAAAAAAUGAUGUUUCCCUACACAAUAAUCACCAUUCUUUAGUGAAACCAAGAGCUAAACUGUCUCUCCCAAUCAUUUUCAAUCACUAAUUACAUUUCAGAAACAAACUUCUCUGAACACAAGAUUAUUUUUCAGAGCUUAAAUGUUCCUUUGGUAUAAAUUUCAUGUUAUUUUGGGAGAAGAUAAAAGAAUUACAUAAUUUGUUCAA